rnacentral:rRNA from 1 species
AAACGGGCCGCCCCCGCCAGAGGACCCUUAACUCUGUUUCUAUAAUGUUUCUUCUGAGUAAAACAAGCAAAUAAAUUAAAACUUUCAACAACGGAUCUCUUGGCUCUGGCAUCGAUGAAGAACGCAGCGAAAUGCGAUAAGUAAUGUGAAUUGCAGAAUUCAGUGAAUCAUCGAAUCUUUGAACGCACAUUGCGCCCGCCAGUAUUCUGGCGGGCAUGCCUGUUCGAGCGUCAUUACAACCCUCAGGCCCCCGGGCCUGGCGUUGGGGAUCGGCGGAGCCUCUCUGUGGGCACACGCCGUCCCCCAAAUACAGUGGCGGUCCCGCCGCAGCUUCCAUCGCGUAGUAGCUAACACCUCGCGACUGGAGAGCGGCGCGGCCACGCCGUAAAACACCCAACUCUUCUGAAGUUGACCUCGAAUCAGGUAGGAAUACCCGCUGAACUUAAGCAUAUCAAUAAGCGGAGGAAAAGAAACCAACAGGGAUUGCCUCAGUAACGGCGAGUGAAGCGGCAACAGCUCAAAUUUGAAAUCUGGCUCUCGGGCCCGAGUUGUAAUUUGUAGAGGAUGCUUUUGGUGAGGUGCCUUCCGAGUUCCCUGGAACGGGACGCCAUAGAGGGUGAGAGCCCCGUCUGGUUGGACGCCGAACCUCUGUAAAGCUCCUUCGACGAGUCGAGUAGUUUGGGAAUGCUGCUCUAAAUGGGAGGUAUAUGUCUUCUAAAGCUAAAUACCGGCCAGAGACCGAUAGCGCACAAGUAGAGUGAUCGAAAGAUGAAAAGAACUUUGAAAAGAGAGUUAAACAGUACGUGAAAUUGUUGAAAGGGAAGCGCUUGUGACCAGACUUGGGCUUGGUUGAUCAUCCGGGGUUCUCCCCGGUGCACUCUUCCGGCCCAGGCCAGCAUCAGUUCGCCCUGGGGGACAAAGGCUUCGGGA